GUAUAAUAUGAGGAAUACUGUUAGGGAUGAGAAAUUUGCGGGGAAGCUGAAUCCAGAAGAUAAGCAGAAGAUUGAGAAAUCUGUUGAAGAUACAAUUGAGUGGUUGGAUAGGAACCAACUGGCGGAGGUUGAUGAGCUUGAAGAUAAGCUGAAGGAGCUCGAGGGUAUCUGUAAUCCCAUCAUUGCCAAGAUGUAUCAGGGCGGUGCUCCCAUGGGCGAUGAUAUGCCUGGCGGCGGCUCCGCCCAGUCCGGGGGUGCUGGGCCGAAGAUUGAGGAGGUUGAUUGAGGAGAUAGACUGAGUUUUUUAAGCAGAAGUUGAGAAUGUGAGAAUGUGACACAGACAUAAUGUUCUUCUUUUUCUCUUUAAUUACAAGGAAUAGGAUGUCUUUCUGUUUUUUCUUCUUGGGUGAAAAUAGUGAAGGGUUGUAAUGUAUGUAUGUAUGUUUGAG
rnacentral:misc_RNA from 1 species